CUAGGAUGAACGCUGGCGGCGUGCUUAACACAUGCAAGUCGAACGAAGCAACUAUCUUGCUUGCAAGAGAGUUGACUUAGUGGCGGACGGGUGAGUAACGCGUGGGUAACCUGCCUCGAUACAGGGGGAUAACAGUUGGAAACGACUGCUAAGACCGCAUAACCCGCUAGUGUCGCAUGACACGGACGGAAAAUAUUUAUAGGUAUGAGAUGGGCCCGCGUCUGAUUAGCUAGUUGGUAAGGUAACGGCUUACCAAGGCGACGAUCAGUAGCCGACUUGAGAGAGUGAUCGGCCACAUUGGGACUGAGACACGGCCCAAACUCCUACGGGAGGCAGCAGUGGGGAAUAUUGGACAAUGGGGGAAACCCUGAUCCAGCGAACCGCCGCGUGAGUGAAGAAGUAUUUCGGUAUGUAAAGCUCUAUCAGCAGGGAAGAUAAUGACAGUACCUGACUAAGAAGCCCCGGCCUAACUACGUGCCAGCCGCUGC
rnacentral:rRNA from 1 species